rnacentral:sRNA from 15 species
ACACCUGCAAAAUCAGGUGUCGGGAUUUGCACCCUGGAUAUCACAACAACGCAUAGCCGCGUUUGCGGUUUUUUU